rnacentral:RNase_MRP_RNA from 12 species
UGGCCGAGGGCAGAAAAGUUGCGCAAUCUUCUUUUCAAGUCACCUUGGGGAAAUUCCUCGGACGUAAGGGCAGAGAGUGCCACCCGAUUUGAUAUCAAUCGGUUUCCGGCGCGGUAAUUUACGCCGCUUCUUAUUGGCGACGACGGUCAGAUAUUUCUCCCUCGUGGUUGAAGAGCUGGCACGAGCCAUUUUCUAAGGUAGUCGGAUCGCCGUUAAAACAAGCCGCCGUCAUAGCAAAGUUAUGCCAUCUAUUAA